rnacentral:rRNA from 1 species
GGGUUGUGAGGUUAAGCGACUAAGCGUACACGGUGGAUGCCCUGGCAGUCAGAGGCGAUGAAGGACGUGCUAAUCUGCGAAAAGCGUCGGUAAGGUGAUAUGAACCGUUACAGCCGGCGAUGUCCGAAUGGGGAAACCCAGUGCAAUUCGUUGCACUAUCGUUAACUGAAUACAUAGGUUAACGAGGCGAACCGGGGGAACUGAAACAUCUAAGUACCCCGAGGAAAAGAAAUCAACCGAGAUUCCCCCAGUAGCGGCGAGCGAACGGGGAGCAGCCCAGAGUCUGAAUCAGCUUGUGUGUUAGUGGAACGGUCUGGAAAGUCCGACGGUACAGGGUGAUAGUCCCGUACACCAAAAUGCACAGGUUGUGAACUCGAAGAGUAGGGCGGGACACGUGGUAUCCUGUCUGAAUAUGGGGGGACCAUCCUCCAAGGCUAAAUACUCCUGACUGACCGAUAGUGAACCAGUACCGUGAGGGAAAGGCGAAAAGAACCCCGGCGAGGGGAGUGAAAAAGAACCUGAAACCGUGUACGUACAAGCAGUGGGAGCACCUUCGGGUGUGACUGCGUACCUUUUGUAUAAUGGGUCAGCGACUUAUAUUCUGUAGCAAGGUUAACCGUAUAGGGGAGCCGCAGGGAAACCGAGUCUUAACUGGGCGUUAAGUUGCAGGGUAUAGACCCGAAACCCGGUGAUCUAGCCAUGGGCAGGUUGAAGGUUGGGUAACACUAACUGGAGGACCGAACCGACUAAUGUUGAAAAAUUAGCGGAUGACUUGUGGCUGGGGGUGAAAGGCCAAUCAAACCGGGAGAUAGCUGGUUCUCCCCGAAAGCUAUUUAGGUAGCGCCUCGUGAACUCAUCUUCGGGGUAGAGCACUGUUUCGGCUAGGGGGUCAUCCCGACUUACCAACCCGAUGCAAACUACGAAUACCGAAGAAUGUUAUCACGGGAGACACACGGCGGGUGCUAACGUCCGUCGUGAAGAGGGAAACAACCCAGACCGCCAGCUAAGGUCCCAAAGUCAUGGUUAAGUGGGAAACGAUGUGGGAAGGCACAGACAGCCAGGAUGUUGGCUUAGAAGCAGCCAUCAUUUAAAGAAAGCGUAAUAGCUCACUGGUCGAGUCGGCCUGCGCGGAAGAUGUAACGGGGCUAAACCAUGCACCGAAGCUGCGGCAGCGACACUAUGUGUUGUUGGGUAGGGGAGCGUUCUGUAAGCCUGCGAAGGUGUGCUGUGAGGCAUGCUGGAGGUAUCAGAAGUGCGAAUGCUGACAUAAGUAACGAUAAAGCGGGUGAAAAGCCCGCUCGCCGGAAGACCAAGGGUUCCUGUCCAACGUUAAUCGGGGCAGGGUGAGUCGACCCCUAAGGCGAGGCCGAAAGGCGUAGUCGAUGGGAAACAGGUUAAUAUUCCUGUACUUGGUGUUACUGCGAAGGGGGGACGGAGAAGGCUAUGUUAGCCGGGCGACGGUUGUCCCGGUUUAAGCAUGUAGGCUGGUUAUCCAGGCAAAUCCGGAUAAUCAAGGCUGAGGUGUGAUGACGAGGCACUACGGUGCUGAAGUAACAAAUGCCCUGCUUCCAGGAAAAGCCUCUAAGCAUCAGGUAACAUCAAAUCGUACCCCAAACCGACACAGGUGGUCAGGUAGAGAAUACCAAGGCGCUUGAGAGAACUCGGGUGAAGGAACUAGGCAAAAUGGUGCCGUAACUUCGGGAGAAGGCACGCUGGUGUGUAGGUGAAGUCCCUGCGGAUGGAGCUGAGACCAGUCGAAGAUACCAGCUGGCUGCAACUGUUUAUUAAAAACACAGCACUGUGCAAACACGAAAGUGGACGUAUACGGUGUGACGCCUGCCCGGUGCCGGAAGGUUAAUUGAUGGGGUUAUCCGUAAGGAGAAGCUCUUGAUCGAAGCCCCGGUAAACGGCGGCCGUAACUAUAACGGUCCUAAGGUAGCGAAAUUCCUUGUCGGGUAAGUUCCGACCUGCACGAAUGGCGUAAUGAUGGCCAGGCUGUCUCCACCCGAGACUCAGUGAAAUUGAACUCGCUGUGAAGAUGCAGUGUACCCGCGGCAAGACGGAAAGACCCCGUGAACCUUUACUAUAGCUUGACACUGAACAUUGAGCCUUGAUGUGUAGGAUAGGUGGGAGGCUUUGAAGCGUGGACGCCAGUCUGCGUGGAGCCAACCUUGAAAUACCACCCUUUAAUGUUUGAUGUUCUAACGUUGGCCCCUGACCGGGGUUGCGGACAGUGUCUGGUGGGUAGUUUGACUGGGGCGGUCUCCUCCCAAAGCGUAACGGAGGAGCACGAAGGUUAGCUAAUCCUGGUCGGACAUCAGGAGGUUAGUGCAAUGGCAUAAGCUAGCUUGACUGCGAGCGUGACGGCGCGAGCAGGUGCGAAAGCAGGUCAUAGUGAUCCGGUGGUUCUGAAUGGAAGGGCCAUCGCUCAACGGAUAAAAGGUACUCCGGGGAUAACAGGCUGAUACCGCCCAAGAGUUCAUAUCGACGGCGGUGUUUGGCACCUCGAUGUCGGCUCAUCACAUCCUGGGGCUGAAGUAGGUCCCAAGGGUAUGGCUGUUCGCCAUUUAAAGUGGUACGCGAGCUGGGUUUAGAACGUCGUGAGACAGUUCGGUCCCUAUCUGCCGUGGGCGCUGGAGAAUUGAGGGGGGCUGCUCCUAGUACGAGAGGACCGGAGUGGACGCAUCACUGGUGUUCGGGUUGUCAUGCCAAUGGCACUGCCCGGUAGCUAAAUGCGGAAGAGAUAAGUGCUGAAAGCAUCUAAGCACGAAACUUGCCCCGAGAUGAGUUCUCCCUGAGACUAUAAGUCUCCUGAAGGAACGUUAAAGACGAUGACGUUGAUAGGCCGGGUGUGUAAGCGCAGCGAUGCGUUGAGCUAACCGGUACUAAUGAACCGUGAGGCUUAACCUUACAACGCCGAAG